rnacentral:rRNA from 1 species
UACGUAGGGCGCAAGCGUUGUCCGGAAUUAUUGGGCGUAAAGAGCUCGUAGGCGGCCUGUUGCGUCCGCUGUGAAAUCCCGGGGCUUAACCCCGGGCCUGCAGUGGAUACGGGCAGGCUGGAGGCAGGCAGGGGAGAACGGAAUUCCCGGUGUAGCGGUGAAAUUCGUAGAUAUUAGGAAGAACACCGGUGGCGAAGGCGGCCCACUGGUCCGGUACUGACGCUGAGGUGCGAAAGCGUGGGGAGCAAACCGG